rnacentral:rRNA from 1 species
UACAGAGGGUGCGAGCGUUAAUCGGAAUUACUGGGCGUAAAGCGCGCGUAGGCGGCUUUGCAAGUCGGGUGUGAAAUCCCCAGGCUUAACCUGGGAACUGCAUUCGAGACUGCAUUGCUAGAGUAUGGGAGAGGGAAGUGGAAUUUCAGGUGUAGCGGUGAAAUGCGUAGAUAUCGCUUGGAACGCCGAAGGUGAAAACAGGUCGCUGGGGAUGUGCCGACGCUGAGACACGAAAGCCAGGGGAGCAAACGGG